GGCUCAGAAUCAACGCUGGCGGCGUGCCUAACACAUGCAAGUCGAGCGAGAAAAGGGGAGCAAUCCCCUGAGUAAAGCGGCGCACGGGUGAGUAACACGUGGGUAAUCUACCCUGAAGUGGGGAAUAACACCGGGAAACCGGUGCUAAUACCGCAUAUGAUCACGAUGUCUGCGGACGUAGUGAUGAAAGGAGCAAUUCGCUUCAGGAGGAGCCCGCGGCUGAUUAGCUAGUUGGUGAGGUAAUGGCUCACCAAGGCAACGAUCAGUAUCCGGUCUGAGAGGACGGUCGGACACACUGGAACUGAGACACGGUCCAGACUCCUACGGGAGGCAGCAGUGGGGAAUUUUUCGCAAUGGGGGCAACCCUGACGAAGCAACGCCGCGUGGAUGAUGAAGUAUCUCGGUACGUAAAAUCCUUUCGACAGGGAAGAAACCGCAAGGUUGACGGUACCUGUAGAAGAAGCCCCGGCUAACUCCGUGCCAGCAGCCGCGGUAAUACGGGGGGGGCUAGCGUUGUUCGGAAUUACUGGGCGUAAAGGGCGCGUAGGCGGUCUAUUAAGUUGGAUGUGAAAACUCUGGGCUUAACCCAGAGCCUGCAUUCAAAACUGAUAGGCUGGAGUUCUGGAGGGGAUAGCGGAAUUCCUGGUGUAGCGGUGAAAUGCGUAGAUAUCAGGAGGAACACCGGUGGCGAAGGCGGCUAUCUGGACAGAAACUGACGCUGAGGCGCGAAAGCUAGGGGAGCAAACAGGAUUAGAUACCCUGGUAGUCCUAGCCCUAAACGAUGGAUACUUGGUGUGACUGGGAUUGAAUCCAGUCGUGCCGAAGCUAACGCAUUAAGUAUCCCGCCUGGGGAGUACGGUCGCAAGGCU
rnacentral:rRNA from 1 species